CGUUCCUGCUUCCCAUAACAUUUGUGUGCUUUAUGUAUCUGGGUUGCAAAGUAAGAAAGGGUCCUGGACUAGAUGACCUGAAUAUGAGAUGGUCCUCAUUUCAAGGGUUUUGCUCUAUUAGUUAAUCAUAUGUCAGACAAAAUUUUGUUUUUCGUUAAAAAAAUUGCAGUCACCAUUUUUCUUAGUUCUCUCUUGGUUCUAAUGUUCUCUGAUGUCUAAAGGGGGAUGGGGGCUGAGAUCUGCCUUUGCUGCCACAUGCUUGGGCAGCACCCACCAAUAACUGUACCCAGGAGAAAUGCCCAUUGCAGGUCCGUCCUGGUGGUCAGAGUCAAAGAAGGGAUGCUCCGGCAGCCGGCUCUGAGCCCCGCUUUCUCAAGGCAGAUAACCUCCAUCUGUGAGGCAACACUCCAUAGGAGGAGUGAUACAGCACGGGAGGAGACUUGUAAUGCCUGCUGGUGAAGUGUCAUUAUGAGAUUCUGUUGCAUUAGUGGGUGUCUCAGCCAUCUUUCUUCCUUCUGGUGGUUCACCAGCCCCAAAGAAUAAAGCAGCAGGUGCUACCCAAACUGGCUUUCCUUUUGGAAGCAGCCAUGUGUGAUGAACACUGCGGUGGGUAGAAAUAAAUCUCAUGCGUCACCAAUUCCUCUAGAGAAGCGUGGGUGAGAACGGGUAUGUUUUGCAAAUAUGAGCUUGUACUUUGCAGGACCCUGACGAGUUUAUGGAGCCCACAAGGUGGCGCAUGAGCUGCAGCGAUGACAGAUGGGUCCGAAAAGCAACAGUCAGAGCUGCCUCGCAGGAUCUCCCUCAGGCAGACCCCUCGACAUGUCCUGCCCACAUCUCACAGUUCUAUACGAAAUAUCCCUGGUCUUGUGUCCAUCUCUAGUUUCUUAUUCUGAGAAAGCAGGGUCCAGGCUUUCUGCUGCUUCUUUAGUAAAGCACGUGGGCCCGGUGAGGAUGCUGACAUGGACACAAGUCUGCUUCUGGGUUAGGGAUCUCUAUUGCUGGUGUUCAUCGUGGAAAGCUGGUCUGGACCUGGAACAUCCUUGAUGCGUGGUUACAGCAACCCCCCUCCCCAACUCGUGACAGCUGUUAAAUUCUGUUUCCAAACUUGCGGUGUGGUGGCCAUCCCAAGAUUUUCCUGGUGUCUUUGAAUCCAACCUCCUCUCAGACACUGAUCUAUUAAACUUUUUUGUUUUCCGAUGGAAACAUUUCCUUGCUGUAAAAGAUAUUCAGAUUAAUAGAUUCCAGUCAAAGCCAAUUGAUUAAUGCUUUGCCCUUCUUGAAUCCCCUGCAGUUCUCUUUUCUUUCUUUUUCUAUCUCCAUGCUCAUUUGCACUGCAGUGUUUACUUUCUGCAUCUGGCCCUGCCUCCGCCCCCAGGACUCUGUGGAAAGGUGUGACGUCACUGUGGAGUGGACUGAAUUUGCAGACUGUUUUCCCCAUGAGACAAGAAAGCCCCAUUCAAAGAGAGAGCCCUAUAAUGUGAAAAAUAAAUGGGGCUUGUUAACAUGAAUGCCA
rnacentral:lncRNA from 1 species